CGGUAGCUAAAAUGUUGAUGACAUUUCCCUGUGCUACACAUUUAUACAUCACUUUGCACAAACUACCAGGCAAACGCGGAGCCCAAUCCAGCUGUUACAGCUACAGCCCUCACUGCAGUAAAACCAGCCCCGGCUCUGCUGAUCAACUGAUCUUCACCACGGCCCAGGAGAGGUAAUUUCUCCAGGGGGAACCAAGGCAGACAGAAGUAGUAAUUUCCCCAAGGCUACCUGCUGACUCUGGCCGGGGGCUGGUGGAGCAGCACACCCGAGUCCCCGACUGCCAGCCUCGUGCUCGGUGCAUUCGCAUUGUUUCUCUAGCCGGCACGGUACACAAUACUUUUUUUCCAAGGUAAAUACUUCCUUGUGAGGGGGAGCCAGGCGCAUUAUUUUUAGACGGCAAACAAAGCUGAGGUGUGUGUCUUUCAGCGGGGACAGGCACCUCUUACAGCGAGCUGCUCUUUCAGCAGCCACAGCUGAGCCGUCUCCAUGAGCCCAGGCCUUUGCUCUGACCUCAGCUUAUUUCUCUGCUGGCUCCCAGGGCUCUGAAUGAAAACACGGCAGCCUGGGAGGGGCGAGCCUGGAAAUGGCAGCCCUGCCUCCGGCUGCGGGGAGGGCCCAGGUGGGCUGCGGGGGGCUGCGGGUGGCGGGGUGGGCGCCGAUGCCCCGUGCCGAUGGGGCACGAGGGCGGCGGGCGCAGCGGUGGCGGAGGGCAGAGGCUUGGUUGCGUGCCUGCCGUGCCCUGCAGGCAGAGGACAUUUUGCACGGCGCAGGAGAGCAGAGCUGCCUCCCCGCGAGCACCGGCCGCCCACCGCGGGGAAGCCGCAGGAGCAGCUGCGCAGGGCACAGGGAGAGGAGGAGUGGCCCCAGCCCUACCAGGGGCAGGAAAGAUCUUAUCCCCACUGCUGCCCUCUACGCGCUCUUUAGCACCUCUCCUCUAGCUCUCGCUCCGGUCCCUCGGAUUUCCUGUAGCAACCUGCAGAUGCAGCACAGCGGCGCCCAAGCCCCCCCCCCGCCGCCCCCCGGCCCCGUGUAUUUCUGCGGCCCGGGACGGUCCCGAGCACGCCAGCGCCCCGGCAGAUGUGCUGGGAGGGGGACAGGGGGACAGGACGAGCGGUAUCGGGUUGCUGAGGAGCACGGCCAGGAGAAAGCAACCGAAACGCCAGUCCGGGACCAUUUGGGAGAGGCAGCAGAACAGGCACGAAACCAGAAUACACACUUUACUGUCAAGCCAAAAGC